GAUGAAGAACGCAGCGAAAUGCGAUAAGUAAUGUGAAUUGCAGAAUUCAGUGAAUCAUCGAAUCUUUGAACGCACAUUGCGCCCGCCAGUAUUCUGGCGGGCAUGCCUGUUCGAGCGUCAUUUCAACCAUCAAGCCCCGGGCUCGUGUUGGGGACCUGCGGCUGCCGCAGGCCCUGAAAUGCAGUGGCGGGCUCGCUGUCACUCCGAGCGUAGUAGUUACAUCUCGCUCUGGGCGUGCUGCGGGUUCCGGCCGUUAAAAGCCUUAUUUACCCAAGGUUGACCUCGGAUCAGGUAGGAAGACCCGCUGAACUUAAGCAUAUCAAUAAGCGGAGGA
rnacentral:misc_RNA from 1 species